AGCUUUAUAGUCAAUAUAUGAUUUUAGACUGCAAUUCUAAAGUAGUAAUUAUCUUACUAAAGCUU
rnacentral:tRNA from 2 species